CACGACCGUACCGCAAACCGACACUGGUGCGCGAGAUGAGUAUUCUAAGGCGCUUGAGAGAACUCAGGAGAAGGAACUCGGCAAAUUGACACCGUAACUUCGGAAGAAGGUGUGCCUUUAGUAGGUGAACCUGUACAAGGGGAGCCCAAUGAGGUUGCAAAAAAUCGGUGGCUGCGACUGUUUAAUAAAAACACAGCACUCUGCAAACACGAAAGUGGACGUAUAGGGUGUGACGCCUGCCCGGUGCUGGAAGAUUAAAUGAUGGGGUGCAAGCUCUUGAUUGAAGUCCCAGUAAACGGCGGCCGUAACAAUAACGGUCCUAAGGUAGCGAAAUUCCUUGUCGGGUAAGUUCCGACCUGCACGAAUGGCGUAACGAUGGCCACACUGUCUCCUCCUGAGACUCAGCGAAGUUGAAAUGUUUGUGAUGAUGCAAUCUCCCCGCGGAAAGACGGAAAGACCCCAUGAACCUUUACUGUAGCUUUGUAUUGGACUUUGAACAGAUCUGUGUAGGAUAGGUGGGAGGCUUUGAAGUGUGGUCGCUAGAUCGCAUGGAGCCAACGUUGAAAUACCACCCUGGUGUGUUUGAGGUUCUAACCUAGGCCCGUAAUCCGGGUCGGGGACAGUGCAUGGUAGGCAGUUUGACUGGGGCGGUCUCCUCCCAAAGCGUAACGGAGGAGUUCGAAGGUACGCUAGGUACGGUCGGACAUCGUGCUAAUAGUGCAAUGGCAUAAGCGUGCUUAACUGCGAGACUGACAAGUCGAGCAGAUGCGAAAGCAGGACAUAGUGAUCCGGUGGUUCUGUAUGGAAGGGCCAUCGCUCAACGGAUAAAAGGUACUCUGGGGAUAACAGGCUGAUACCGCCCAAGAGUUCAUAUCGACGGCGGUGUUUGGCACCUCGAUGUCGGCUCAUCUCAUCCUGGGGCUGUAGCCGGUCCCAAGGGUAUGGCUGUUCGCCAUUUAAAGAGGUACGUGAGCUGGGUUUAAAACGUCGUGAGACAGUUUGGUCCCUAUCUUCCGUGGGCGCUGCAGAUUUGAGGAAGCCUGCUCCUAGUACAAGAGGACCGGAGUGGACACACCUCUGGUGUAUCGGUUGUCACGCCAGUGGCAUUGCCGAGUAGCUAUGUGUGGAAGAGAUAACCGCUGAAAGCAUCUAAGCGGGAAACUCGUUUCAAGAUGAGAUCUGCCGGGGCCUUGAGCCCCCUAAAGAGUCGUUCAAGACCAGGACGUUGAUAGGUCGGGUGUGGAAGCGCAGUAAUGCGUUAAGCUAACCGAUACUAAUUGCUCGUGCGGCUUGACCA
rnacentral:rRNA from 1 species